GCUGUGAGCAGGAACCCGAGAAAGAUUAGCAGAGAAGCGAUAGAUAGCCUAAGCCCAACUCUGUGCGUGUCCUCCACUUAAAACAGUUCUUCCACUCAACAAGCACUUCAUUUGGUAAUGGCGAGAAUGGCUUGCUCUCACCUUCUUCCUUCCAUGGCAGUUCCGCUCAAGUCUUCUCUCUUCAAUACCUCUUUAAGACUCUCGGAACCCGCGCAUCAUGUGUUACUCAUCAAAAGGCGCUUCUCCGUUGCUAAGAUAAGCAUGAGUUUGCGAGCCGGCAUCGUUGGCCUUCCCAAUGUCGGCAAGUCCACGUUGUUUAACGCCGUUGUUGAGAAUGGGAAGGCUCAGGCUGCCAAUUUUCCAUUUUGCACAAUUGAGCCAAAUGUAGGGAUUGUUGCUGUUCCUGAUACACGUCUCAAUGUUCUUUCUGAUCUAAGCAAAUCCAAACGAGCAGUCCCAGCGUCAAUAGAGUUUGUUGAUAUAGCUGGGCUUGUAAAGGGUGCCAGUCAAGGGGAGGGCCUGGGGAAUAAGUUCUUGUCGCAUAUUCGUGAAGUGGACUCCAUACUUCAGGUGGUACGUUGUUUUGAGGACAAUGACAUUGUCCAUGUGAAUGGGAAGGUUGAUCCAAAAUCUGAUAUUGAUGUAAUCAACCUGGAAUUAGUAUUCUCAGACAUGGAUCAGAUUGAGAAAAGAAUCGAGAAACUCAAAAAAGGCAGAGCUAAAGAUUCACAAGCUAAAGUAAAGGAGGAAGCAGAAAAGUCUGCCUUGGAGAAAAUACUACCAGCACUAAUGGAUGGAAAACCAGCAAGAUCAGUAUCUUUGUCAGAGUUUGAAAAGGAUUCUAUUAAGCAUCUUUGUCUUCUUACUAUGAAGCCUGUCAUAUUUGUGGCAAAUGUAGCGGAAUCAGAGGUGGCUGAGCCUGAAAAUAAUCCUCACGUCAAAGAAGUAAUAAAAACAGCUUCUGAGUUAAAUUCUGGCGUGGUAACAAUUUCAGCGCAGGUUGAAUCGGAGCUAUCGGAACUUCCUUUAGAAGAGAGAAUGGAAUAUUUGAAAUCUCUUGGUGUCGAUGAAAGUGGCCUAGGAAAUCUUAUCAGAGAAACUUAUGGUCUCCUAGGGUUGCGUACAUACUUCACUUCUGGCGAGAAGGAAACCAAAGCAUGGACCAUACUCGAAGAUUCAACUAUGGAUAGAACAAAGCAAUGCAACAAGAUAGUGAAGGUGAAAGAGAGGGUAAUUGUGCUACGACUGCCAGCAACAGAAGCAAGCUAGCACGCGGAGGUUGUUGACGAACAUCAACUUUCAAGGAAUGACUGCGCCCCAAGCAGCUGGGGUUAUUCACUCCGAUUUUGAAAAGGGCUUCAUCAGGGCAGAGACGGUUGCUUACAAUGACUUUGUUUCUGCUGGUUCAUUUGCUGCUGCAAGGGAAAAAGGACUUUUGAGGUUAGAGGGGAAAGAUUAUGUUGUGCAAGAAGGGGAUAUAAUGCUGUUUCGGUUCAAUGUCUAAUUGUAACACAGCUGGUGAAGGAGAUGUCACAUAUUUUUUUGAUGCCCGCGGUUGUUCUGAACCAUUCAGGUUUCUGAGACAGCAAGUUUUGCUAUGAAAUCAGAGUUUUUUUCGGGAAGCCUAUAUUUUAUGAGCUAGCCAGGUUUGUGAAUUUAACGCACUGCAAGUGGUGUUGAUAGAUAUAUGAUUUUUUUCCUCAGCCGCUACAAAUCUCAAUUUGGAUCGUCGUGUAACAUUCAAUGUCCAUAGGUCUUUCGACAUGUGUAAUAUUGUUGUAAUUUUUUCACUCCUUACCAGUUACCACCCUCCCAUACGCCUUAGAUGGGCAUUGCAUAUGAUUUAAAAAUAAACGGAAAGAAGAAGAAGAUUCAAAAGUAGAAUUUUUCGUCAUUUGAUGGGUUA